GCCAACGUACAAUAUUAAGAAAUACAAUCUUUGCUCAAUUGCGUGUAUCAAGUAUUCUUAAAUUGUCAAAUGAGCUUCGAGUAGUAUCUAGGUUAGUGCUGGAUGGAAAGGAACAAGUGAUCAUGUCGCUCUGUAGAUCUUAGAAUCUAUCCUUAAACUGUUUCAUUAUGCAACAAAAGCUCACAACGAAGUGUACCUCUGCCACUGUCAGCAUUUGAAUCUGACUCUCUUGUCAAUUGUCUUUUAUAGGAAGAGGAAUUGAAAGGUGCGGUGGUUCUGAUAUUUGCAAACAAGCAGGAUCUUCCUGGUGCACUCGAUGAUGCGGCUGUUACAGAAGCUUUGGAGUUACAUAAGAUAAAGAGUCGUCAAUGGGCAAUCUUCAAAACUUGUGCUGUGAAAGGCGAGGGACUUUUUGAGGGAUUGGACUGGUUGAGUAAUACGUUGAAGUCGGGCAGUGGCUAAAAUCAUCUUCAUACACCAAUUGGUCAUCCCUCAAAGAGUGUAUCUUCGAUCAUUUAUACUUAUUGGUUUGUUUAGUAUGUUUUAUCUUAGUUCGUCAUCCUAUGAGUUAAUAUCAAUGACAUGUUCACUUAAUAUUGUCUCUUUUUUGUUGUUGGUGUUUUGUUUCCUUCUAAAAAAAAAAACUCAACGAGGAUUUUUGAUUGAGACCCAUAAGGGAUACAACACCUUUUAACAUGAAAUUGAACUGAUUUUAGACGAAACACUGAUAGGCGUCCAAGUGAUGUUUUGUCGACUUGGACUAAUAAGCUCAAAUGUUGAACUGUUAAAAAGUUUGAAAAAUGUUACAUUUGUCUGCUCCUAUGGCUUCUCUUUUUGCAUAUUUGCUUGUGUUUGUAUGAAAUUCCUAAUUUGGUUAUGUUUGUAUAAAAUUCUGAAUGGAAAAAAAUCUCAUAAAAAGUUUCUUUGCAUGUGUUGAAACUUGAAAUAAGAUACGAAACAGUAUUGAAAAAAAUCUCAAGCUUGGCAUGUGUUGAAACUUGAAAUAAGAUACGAGACAGUAUUGAAAAAAAUCUCAAGCUUGGCAUGUGUUGAAAUAAAUUGCCAAUUUGAUUGAAUUUUGCAAUUCCUAUUAUAGUGAACUGUUGUUGAGUUUGCCAAAUAAAACACAUUGUUAAGUGGACUGACUAAAUUAUUGGGUUUGGUUGUUAGAUAUAUCAGUUUUGGUUAUGUAUUUAUAUAUGUACAAAUAUUUGGUUCUGUUAUCUUUCAAAAAGAAAAUUUGCUAUAAUCUAGGUUACUUUGCUCAUAGAUUACUUUAAAAGUCAAUAAAAUGACCAAAAAUGACAAAAUGGUCGGUUUGGUUUAUUUAAUUUUGAUUCUAGUGAUCGAGUACUUUUAAGUUAUCUAUAUCUGUUCUUGAUGGUCUCGUCCAGUGAAAAGCUUUUUUUUUACUUUUUUUCCCGCCCCAGUGAAAAGCUUCUAGUAAUACUAGUAAGACCAUUUUCACUGGGAGUUACUCUCACUGAUUCUUUUUGAAUUGGGUUCCAAAAUUAGAAUUAAAAAUCUAUAUUUAAGUCCAUUAAGCUGAGUAUCGAUUCUUUGGGAAGCAAUUGGAGCAACCCAUGGGAAACGGUACAUGGCGCAAUGGGAUUGGAUGAUUGAAAAAUAUAAAAGCUAAUUUUUUCUAUUUUCCCAUUUUCUUCUUCAUUUGUUCCCCGACUCUCUCUCUUUCUUCUUUCGACAGAAAAGGCGAUUACGAUGGAAACCGGAAAAUUAGUGGAUUCACCUCGAAUCCUUUGAUUUUUCCGGCUAAAACUGGAGGGUUUUGGUUGAGGAAGGCGAUGACCACUCCGAUCGGCUUAACCCGGAAGAUUCGACGAUCGACCUCCUUCUGCGACAACGACGGCGGCGGUUUCUUCUGAUGGCGUAAAGCGGACGGCGAGAUCCACUGGAAGACGAAUCGGACAGAGAAGGUUCCUAUUCGCUUGGACAUUCUAUUCGAUGGUCAGCGUUACAAAGAUGCUUCCAUCUAGAACCCUUCAGACCUGGAUAAUGAAGUCGUUGCCUCUUUGCCAAAAGAACCGUUAAAGACUUGAAACUUCCUCCAGCAUAUCUCACUCAGGUUGCCCAAUCUUCUCACGAUCACACUGACCCGUCUUGAAUUUCUCUUCUGCUCUGUAUUUUGUUGCAACCUCCUCUUCUACUUCUCAUAGAGAUGAUAAAAUCUAGUAUUUAAGGUUACCCACUUACCACUUUAGUCUUAAAUCAGUCACACGUUUCACUUAUUGUUUUACUCAAGAAGAGUUCUUUUUGUAGAUAUGUAUGUCUCUAGGAUUGAUUUUGUGAUGUAUUAUUGCUUCAGUUAUGCUCUAUUCUGUUUUUGGAACGAAUGUAAUAUAGUUUCUUCAAAUUUCUUAACUGAAAUUUAUGAUCUUAAGGGAAAUGUGCUUUUGAUGA